AGUUGGUGGAGCGAUUUGUCUGGUUAAUUCCGAUAACGAACGAGACUCUAGCCUGCUAAAUAGUUCGAGGAUCUUAGCAGCCAGCGUUGGUCGUCUGCCUUCGGGUAGUCAGCUGGCGCUCGGUAACGCGAGUCCUCGCAAACUUCUUAGAGGGACAGGUGGCGCAUAGUCACACGAGAUUGAGCAAUAACAGG
rnacentral:rRNA from 1 species